rnacentral:tRNA from 1 species
AGGCAUGUGGCUUAGUGGUUAGAGUAUUCAGCUCACAAUCGUAAGGUCAUGGGUUCAAUUCCCAG